GACGUAGGGGGCCAGCGUUGCUCGGAAUUACUGGGCGUAAAGCGCACGUAGGCGGCUUUGUAAGUUAGAGGUGAAAGCCUGGAGCUCAACUCCAGAAUUGCCUUUAAGACUGCAUCGCUUGAAUCCAGGAGAGGUGAGUGGAAUUCCGAGUGUAGAGGUGAAAUUCGUAGAUAUUCGGAAGAACACCAGUGGCGAAGGCGGCUCACUGGACUGGUAUUGACGCUGAGGUGCGAAAGCGUGGGGAGCAAACAGG
rnacentral:rRNA from 1 species